rnacentral:lncRNA from 10 species
GUCAUUAUCUAGUGCUAAUAUAAUAACUAUUACUUACCUCCUAAAUGUUUUUCACAUCUGCCUCCUUUUCCUCCCCACUCCUGAUGCCUUAGUCUAAGGGAAUGAAGAGAGCACUGCAGUCAGAGAAACCUGGGUUCUGAGAGAUCUUGGGCAAAUUACUUACCCUCACAACUUCUUUACCUUACCUGUAAAAUGGAGAUGUUAACACUAGUGCCACUUUGGUAGGGUUGCUAUUGCAUAAACAAAAUUAAGUAUGUAAUGGGCUUAGGAAAUGCCUGGUUUAAUUCGUCUGCUGUGAUUAAAAUGAUCAUUAUUAUUCAAACUUUCAUCAUCUUUGUUCAAUAGACUGUUUCUAACUGGUCUCAGCUGCAGCGUUGUUCUCUUUAAUUCGCAGAAGUACAGAGGAUUUCUCCAAGUACAUAUGAGAUCCAGAGACUAGAGUCACUCCUUGGCUUAGAAUCCAUGUGGCUCCCACAUGCCCUCUGGAUAAAGUCCAGGCUUCUUAAUGUGGUCUACAAGCCCCAUCCAGAUCUACUCCCCACCUGCUUCCAUCCAUUUAUUUCAGCAUUUUCUCUCUCUUAGCCAAUACCUAAUUACUUAUUUUUCUGCCCAUUUCCAGAUUCCCAACAUGCCAUCUAUAGCCUCCCUGAUCUUGAACCGGAGGUGUAAUUAGCAACCUGGCUCUUACAUUUUUACUAGAUUUUAUUAAAACUAGCUCAAGCCACACAUGCUCCUUCUCUGAGGUUUCCCUUUCAUAUUGAAUUGUCUCUAAGUCCUCUGGAUUUGUGGGGGUACAAGUGGGAUGGGGAGCGCUCCCUGACUUCUGCAUACCAGCAGGAAGUUAGCUACCUCAUUGUUUCUUGCUGCUACGAGGGUUGCAGUCAAAUCACUGUCCCUCCAGAGGUCCUCAACGGCAUAAGAAGACUCAGUGCCAAGGGACUCAAGGACUUCAUCAUCAAAGUCCUGUGCCGGCUAGCUUCCAGUUGUAUUGAGUCAAUGGAGAAUCUGGCAGAUUGGAGGAAGGAGAAGGUCAUGAUCAUCUGGCAAUUAAAG